UCGUAACAAGGUUUCCGUAGGUGAACC
rnacentral:ncRNA from 3 species